rnacentral:rRNA from 1 species
GGAGUUUGGACCGUGUCUCAGUUCCAAUGUGGCCGAUCACCCUCUCAGGUCGGCUACUGAUCGUCGCCUUGGUGAGCCGUUACCUCACCAACUAGCUAAUCAGACGCAGGCCCAUCCUUAGCCGAUAAAUCUUUGACGGAAUCUACAUGUGAACAUUCCGUGUUAUGGGGUUUUAAUCAUCGUUUCCAAUGGCUAUCCCCCUGCUAAGGCAGGUUGCCUACGCGUUACUCACCCGUCCGCCGCUUUCCAGUUAAUAGAUUUGACCGAAAUCGCUUCACAUAACCUUCUCGCUCGACUUGCAUGUGUUAGGCACGCCGCCAGCGUUCAUC